GAUGAACGCUAGCGGCAGGCCUAAUACAUGCAAGCCGAACGGCAAGUCUGAUAGCAAUAUUAGACCUAGAGUGGCGUAAGGGUGCGUAACACGUAUGCAAUCUACCCGCAACAGGAGGAUAGCUCGGGGAAACUCGAAUUAACCCUCCAUAAGAUCUUAGACCGGCAUCGGUUAGAGAUUAAAUCUGAGGAGGUUGCGGAUGAGCAUGCGUCUGAUUAGCUAGUUGGCGGGGUAAUGGCCCACCAAGGCGAUGAGUCAGUAGGGAACGUAGAGAGG
rnacentral:rRNA from 1 species